AGCCGUGCUUUUUGAACACGCCAUGACUGAAUACUGGAACUUCUCCGACUAAGCCAGCGAUGUUAUAAUGCCCCAAAUUUGUUUCGCCAAGAUUGGUCUCCAUAAGAUAAAGGAUCUAAUAAAGCAUGUAAAACUGUUCAGAAGCUCACUGACUGACCACAAACUCCAGCCAAGCCUUAAAGAUUUGCUACAGAAUAAAGUAUAUUUAGCAGCCUUCCACUCCUAUCUGCAAUCUGAGUUUAGUGAUGAAAACAUUCAGUUCUGGCUGUGAGAACUUCAGGGCAACUGCCUCAAAAGAUAACCUCCAGUCGAAAGCAGGGAGGAUCUACAAGGAAUUAAUCCAGCCUUCAGCCUGUAAAGAGAUCAAUGUAGACCACUACAUUAAACAGAAAAUAAAGAAAUCCUUGGAGAAACCGGGUCUAACAUGCUUCGACGAGGCCCAGAAACAUGUUUACCUGCUAAUGGAAAGAGACUCUUGUCCAAGAUUCCUACAGUCUGAUGCUUACCUGAGACUGAAGCAGAAAUCCAGGACUGUAUGGUACAUUUAAACACUGACAAAGAAAAGAAAAGUUGAGAUUUGGUUGAAUUGUUUUGAAAGCUGUUAAACAAUUCAUUCAUUCAUUCAUUAGUUGGCUGUCUCAGGUUUGUUCAAAAACCCAUUCUAUGUGUUAAAGGAUGUGCAAUGUCAUAUCAUGUUUGGAGAAAUUAUCUGUGGAACACAUAAUGGUCCCGGCACGGUCGACGACUGGUUAGCACAUCUGCCUCACAGUUCUGGGGACCGUGGUUCAAAUCCCGGCCCCGCCUGUGGGGAGUUUGCAUGUUCUGCCCGUGCCUGGGUGGGUUUUCUCCGGGUACUGCCUUUUCCUCCCACAUCCCCAAAACAUGCAUGCUAGGUUCAUUGAAGACUCUAAAUUGCCCGUAGGUGUGAAUGUGAGUGUGAAUGGCUGUUUGUUUCUAUGUGUCCUGCGAUUGGCUGGCGAGCAGCUCAGGGUGUACCCCGCCUCCCGCCCGAAGAUAGCUGGGAUAGGCUCCAGCACCCCGCGACCCUAGUGAGGAUAAGCGGUAAAGAAAAUGGUUGGAUGGAUAAAUAAUGGAGCUAAACCCCAUAUGGGAGCAAAAAAGGAAGGGAACCUGGCAAGUGAAUAAAUAUGUACUGUAUGUGAAUGAAAUAUCUUUUGGAUGUGACACUGUAUUAAAACUGUGGCUAUGCAGUGCAUUGAAUACUCUAGACUUUGAAUGUGUUUAAUGGUUGUACAGUGGAUAGAAACAGUCUA